rnacentral:misc_RNA from 1 species
AAGUCGUAACAAGGUUUCCGUAGGUGAACCUGCGGAAGGAUCAUUAUCACAAAUGAUUUUAACUCUCUUAAUCCAGAGUUAACCUCUUCUUAAACCAAUCUAAUUAAAAUGUGAAAUCGUUUUAUUUUUUUUUUAAGACUUGCUACUUGGAAACAAGUUUCAGCCUUAAAAAAAUUAUUAACCAAUUGAACCCUUUUCUAAUUUAAUGUUAUUUUAUUUAUUUAGUUCUGAAAUCUAUUAUAUAUUCAAUAUUGUAAUAAAUAUUGAACAUGUAAUAAGUUACAUUACGAAACAAUUUAAAUAAAACAACUCUUAGCAACGGAUAUCUUGGUUCUC